UGAUGCCCCAUGAGACUGUGUUGCUGAGCACAGUCAGGAGUGCAGGCGGAACCAUAAGAAGGAGUAUGGAAAAGCCAGCUGCCUACGGCGGGAGCUUAUCUAAAAGCCAUUUCUGCUCAUUCGCUGCCAGUGGUACGUCCAAGACACAAGGAGCUGUAAAGAGCACAGGAAUAAAGAGCAGGAAUGGAUGCCAAGAGGAAGGAAAGUAGGCGGCACAGAAGAUGGGAAACAAAGCAAAAAACGUCUGGGCAACAUGGUACUAGAUCUUAAAUGCUGCUCAGUAGGUCUGAAUGGGAUCCUUUUGGGACACCAUCAUAUAAUCCAUGGGUUUGUAAAUGGAAGCCAUGGGCAAUUUAGGAGACAGCAUGAAGAGAGCUG
ensembl:lncRNA